AAGAGACAGCAGCCGCCGCGGUAAUACGAAGGGUGCAAGCGUUAAUCGGAAUUACUGGGCGUAAAGGGCGCGUAGGCGGCGCGAUUAGUCAGGCGUGAAAUUCCUGGGCUCAACCUGGGGACUGCGCUUGAUACGGUCGAGCUAGAGGAUGGAAGAGGGUUGUGGAAUUCCCAGUGUAGAGGUGAAAUUCGUAGAUAUUGGGAAGAACACCGGUGGCGAAGGCGGCAACCUGGUCCAUUACUGACGCUGAGGCGCGACAGCGUGGGGAGCAAACAGGAUUAGAGACCCCUGUAGUCCCUGUCUCUUAUAC
rnacentral:rRNA from 1 species